rnacentral:rRNA from 1 species
ACAUUGCUAUUGGGAUUCGAUUUAGCCAUGCUAGUCGGACGAGUUUAGACUCGUGGCAGAUAGCUCAGUAACACGUGGCCAAGCUACCCUUCAGUCGGCAAUACCCUCGGGAAACUGAGGUUAAUGGCCGAUAUGGGACGCCUGCUGGAAUGCGGCGUUCUCCAAAGAUUACGCUGAAGGAUGCGGCUGCGGCCGAUUAGGUUGACGGUGGGGUAACGGCCCACCGUGCCAGUAAUCGGUACGGGUGAUGAGAGUCAGAGCCCGGAGACGGAAUCUGAGACAAGAUUCCGGGCCCUACGGGGCGCAGCAGGCGCGAAACCUUUACACUGCACGGAAGUGCGAUAGGGGAAUCCCAAGUGCAAGGGCAUAUUAGCCCUCGCUUUUGUUGACCGUAAGGUGGUCAACGAAUAAGAGCUGGGCAAGACCGGUGCCAGCCGCCGCGGU